rnacentral:rRNA from 1 species
AAUAUACCGGUUCUCGUUAGAUCACCGAAGUCAAGCAUCAUUGGGCGCGGUCAGUACUUGGGUGGGUGACCACCUGGGAACACCGCGUGCAGU